UGAGGUGCACUGACCAUGAGCCUCAACUCCUCCCUCGGCCACAGGAAGGAGGCGAGGAACCUCACCGAGGCGGCCGGGGACCAGGGCGGCGGCGGCGUCACAGAGCUCAUCGCCAUCGUCGUCAUCGCCGUUUUUGUCUGCCUGGGCAACCUGCUCAUCGUGAUCACCUUGUACAGGAAGCCCUACCUGCUUACGCUCAGCAACAGGUUCGUCUUCAGCCUGACCCUGUCCAACUUCCUGCUGUCUGUCCUGGUGCUGCCUUUCGUGGCGACCAGCUCCAUCCGGAGGGAAUGGAUCUUCGGAGUGGUCUGGUGCAACUUCUCAGCGCUCCUGUACCUGCUCAUCAGCUCAGCCAGCAUGCUCACCCUUGGGAUCAUCGCUGUCGACCGCUACUACGCUGUCGUGUACCCCAUGGCGUACCCAAUGAAGAUCACAGGCAGCCGGGCUGUGAUGGUGCUUGCCUACAUCUGGCUUCACUCCCUCAUCGGCUGCCUGCCACCCCUGUUUGGCUGGCCAUCAGUGGAGUUUGACGAGUUCAAGUGGAUGUGUGUGGCCGCGUGGCACCGGGAGCCCGGCUACACCGCGUUCUGGCAGAUCUGGUGCGCCCUGUUCCCCUUCUUGGUCAUGGUGGUGUGCUACGGCUUCAUCUUCCGAGUGGCCAGGGUCAAAGCACGCAAGGUGCAUUGUGGCGCUGUGGUCGCUGUGGAGGUGGGCGCACAGAGGGCCGGGAGGAAGAGCUCCAGCACCUCCACCUCCUCCUCGGGCAGCAGGAAGAACGCCUUUCAGGGCGUGGUCUAUUCAGCCAACCAGUGCAAAGCCCUCAUCAGCAUCCUGGUGGUCAUUGGUGCCUUCAUGGUCACCUGGGGCCCCUACAUGGUUGUCAUCACCUCUGAGGCCCUCUGGGGGAAGAACUGUGUCUCCCCAACCCUGGAGACCUGGGCCACUUGGCUGUCCUUUACCAGCGCCAUCUGCCACCCUCUGAUCUAUGGACUCUGGAACAAGACGGUGCGCAAGGAACUCCUGGGCAUGUGCUUUGGGGAUCGGUAUUACCGGGAGCCAUUUGUACAGCGGCAGAGGACGUCUAGGCUCUUCAGCAUUUCCAAUAGGAUCACAGACCUGGGCCUGUCCCCACACCUCACGGCCCUCAUGGCAGGCGAACAGCCCCUGGGGAACAGCAGCAGCACCGGGGACACUGGCUUCAGCUGCUCUCAGGACUCAGGAACAGAUGUCAUGCUGCUUGAAGACUACGCGUCAGAUGACAACCCUCCCUCCCAUGGCACAUGCCCACCCAAGAGGAGGAGCUCGGUGACAUUUGAAGAUGAAGUAGAACAAAUCAAAGAAGCUGCCAAGAACCCCAUUCUUCACGUGAAAGCUGAUGUGCACGAGUCCUUGGACAGUUACGCAACCAGCUUGGCCAAAGCCAUAGAGGCUGAAGCCAAAAUCAACUUAUUUGGGGAGGAGGCUUUGCCUGGGGUCUUGCUUACAGCUCGGACUGUCCCUGGGAUUGGCUUUGGGAGCCGCCGAGGCAGCAGAACUCUUGCAGGUCAGAGGCUGCAGCUUCAGAGCAUCGAAGAGGGGGAUGUUUUAGCCGCAGAGCAGAGAUGAGGGUGGAUGCCCGUUACCAUCUGUGCCAGGGUCCCGGGAGCAACAUCUGAUACGCAGUCAUCUGAAAAAACACUGAAAACAAUGUCUAUGUGUCCUUUUCUCAAGCCUCCCUUCCCACGGGCUGAAAAGAGGAAGGAGACUAAGCCAACUGUGGCACAAUCCAUACCACAGUCACCUAGGUACAGCAUCCAUGUGUUUUUAAUAAACUCGUGCAAGAAAAUUA